rnacentral:misc_RNA from 1 species
UGAAAUUAUUAAUUUAUAUGUUAUUUAUUCAGUAAUUAAUCAGUAUCAGUAUCAUUAGAACUAUAUUGAUUAAGUAUAUUCGAUGAAUUAUAUUCUUCUCUAUCAGUUACAAAUAAUAAAUAUAUUUUUACUGAGACAAUAUAAGUAAGGGAAACAUUUCAAAAUAUGUUAAUGCUAGAUAGAGAAUUAUCUGUGAAUCAAUUUUAUUUUGGAAUUUAAAUUUGGUAUAUAUUGUAAAUAAUAUUCGGUAUAGUCAAUGAAUUAUAUAUUAUAAUAAUUAUACUGCUAAAAAUUAUAAAGUUUCUUGUAGAAUUAAGUAACAUAUUUUGUAGUAUUUUAUACAUUAUUUUUGACUAUGUAUCACACUAUGUAUCCACCACAAAUAAUGGUGCAGAUAAUGGGAGGCCAACAGGCAAAUGGACAGUGUCCCCCAGUUCAAACACACACGAUGCACACUCAUGGUGCAAGUGCAUUUCUUCAAUCUGAAUAUUUAAAGUAUCACUCAGAUACCUGUGCACAAAAUAGACACCAAAUGAUACAGACAGGAUCUUGUCCAGUGGAAUUACUGCAAUUGAUGGGUGUUGAAAUACCUUCUCUAAGGCGUAUAGAUUAUAUACAAUCAAAUAAUGGAAUGUCUCCUGGACAGUGGCAAAGACGGGUGAAUACAUCAAAUAAUACACCUAUUAUACCCUCUCCACAUCUUACUUUUAGGCCAAAUAAUAAUGGUUUAGUAAAAAAAUCAAGUUGGUAUAACAAAAUCAGCAAAAGAAAUUCGUUUAGAGAAUCAUUUGCAAAGAAUGAAAAGUAUGGCAGUGAUAGUGGUUUCAGUUCUCGAUCUCCAACACCAAACAAGUAUCACAUUGAUAGUAGUCAAACAGAAAGCUCAGAUGAGCGAGAUUCUGUAAUUUCUUCAGUUGAACAAAGUAUGAAAACAUUAUUUUGUAGAAAGUCACAUAAAAUACAUUCAAGUAAUAUUACAAACAAUAGAAUAAUGCAAUAUGGUAUAUUUUCAAAUACUUCCACAAAUCAAUAUUACCAACAUCAAAAACCUGUUAAUUAUUAUCCUGCUGCAAUGUCAACAUCUAGAAUUCAAGUGCAAACUUAUCAGAAUAAGAGAAGAUAUCAUUCAGGAAGGAAUAGUCCACCUCCACAAAGAUUGCAAAGAAAUAGAAAAUAUAUGGGGUUAUUGGCACCAAAUUAUAACACAUUUCCUAGGUAUGGAAUUGCACCAGAUCGAUUCCUUGCUAGGUCACAUUUAGUUGAAGUAACUCAUGUACCGGAUGAGUUGAUUAAUGGUUCAAUUUGGGAUAAUUUAUCGAAAGAUGUUUUUUCAAAAUUUAUGGUCAAUCAACAAACUGAAACCAUCUACAGAAAUAAAAUGAUGCUUUGGAGAUAUCUUUAUGUUUACAUCAAGACUGCAUUUCCAAAAUAUGGAUUGUUUCUGGUUGGAUCUACAAUGAAUGGUUUUGGAUCUGAUAACAGUGACGUUGACAUGUGUCUUUUAGUGAGGCAUACAGAAAUGGAUCAAAGAAAUGAAGCUAUUGGACAUUUAGAACAAAUAUUAAAAUGUCUUAGAAGAUGUGAAUUUAUAGAACAACUGGAACUCAUACAAGCAAAAGUACCAAUCCUAAAGUUCCAUGAUUCUAUACAAAAUUUGGAAGUCGACUUAAAUUGUAACAAUGCUGUUGGUAUUCGAAAUACUCAUUUGUUGUAUUGCUAUUCUCGAAUUGACUGGAGAGUGAGACCGUUGGUACUGGUAGUUAAACUUUGGGCUCAAUCUCAAGAUAUUAACGAUGCCAAGAACAUGACAAUAUCUAGUUAUUCGUUAGUUCUGAUGGUUAUCCAUUUUUUGCAGUGUAUGUAUCUUUGUGUGCAUACCUAUGUGGUGUUAAUCCACCAGUUCUACCAUGUUUGCAUUCUCUCUACGAAGGUAAAUUUUCACCGCACACGGACAUACAUUGUAUAGAUAUCCAAGAAGAGUUAGACAUUCCUGCCUCCGUACUUCGUCCUAAAAAUCGACAAUCAUUAGGGGAGCUCUUCGUUGAAUUUUUUCGAUAUUACGUGAUGUUUGAUUUCAAUCAGUACGCAAUAUCGAUACGUUUGGCUAGUAAAAUACCGAUAGAGGAGUGUCGAAGAGCACGGUCUUAUAAGAAUGAUCCCCAUCAGUGGAAGUAUUUAUGCAUCGAAG